rnacentral:lncRNA from 1 species
UCUGACUGUCUUAUUUCAGAAAGGCAGCCAUCAAGCUCUGAGAUUCUUUCCUCCACUUGGUCUAUUCUGCUACUAAUACUUCAGCUCAGCCCAGUUCAGAACUCCUGUUGGAGAGAUGAUUCAGCUGUUUGCAGGAAAAAAGGCCCUCUGACUUUCACCCCAAGAUGAGACCAUCUAGUUGCAGGAAAGCAAGCUCAGGGAUCCCACAGAUUCUGCACUAUGGAGUGGACCAGCCUUUCAACCCCCACCAUCAUCAGUCAUUGCCUCAGAGCAGUCCACAGGAAACAUAACCUUGACCCAAAUAAGGAUUGUGAAGGAAGAGAGAAAUGUGGAAGAGAAGAGGAAGCAGAAGAAAAGAAAAGGAAUCAAGAUCUUACACUACCUGAAAAGCCUAAAAUAUUUACCUUUAUACAAAUCUUUCCCUUUGUAGAAAAAUUUUGACAAUCCCUGCUCUAGAGAGAGGAAGAAAACUCCAAGGAUUUACCAGGUUUCUGAAGGUAAACUACUGAGGAACAAAACCACUAAUAAAAUUCCUGCAAGAAUAAUGUAUUUUUUGAGUUUAUCACAUGGAGUUUUUUUCUUAACCAAAGGAUAAUUGAGCCCACAAAUAAAGACAAAAUAUCCACUAAAAAUAUAUCACGUAGAAACCAUUUUGAAAAUUAUGAAAAGAGUAUUUAACUAGCCUAAAUGUAGGUAGAACUAUAUGUCUGAUAAAAAAUAAAAAGCACACACUUAAAGCACACAACUUGCUAAGUUGUUGAAAUUCUCAACACAAUCAAGAUU